CAUUCACUAUAUUUACAAAUUGAUUUAUGUGUCAUUAAAACGUGUGUUUUCCAUAGUAAGUUAAGUUAAAAAGAUUUUUUUGAUUAAUACAUAGCUACUAACCCAUGUCGUAUUUUUGGUUUGUUUAAGAGCAUGCCAGAAACACAUUACUACCAUGGUGCCACCAUGUAUACGCAUUCAUUGAGGUAAAAAAAUUUGUAUCCCAGGUUGUACCCU
rnacentral:lncRNA from 1 species